rnacentral:rRNA from 1 species
UACGGGGGGGGGCAAGCGUUGUUCGGAAUUACUGGGCGUAAAGGGCUCGUAGGUGGCCAACUAAGUCAGACGUGGAAUCCCUCGGCUUAACCGGGGAACUGCGUCUGAUACUGGUUGGCUUGAGUGUGGGAGAGGGAUGCGGAAUUUCCAGGUGUAGCGGUGAAAUGCGUAGAUAUCUGGAGGAACACCGGUGGCGAAGGCGGCAUCCUGGACCAUUUACUGACGCUGAGGAGCGAAAGCCAGGGAGCAAAAGCGGG